rnacentral:antisense_RNA from 1 species
CCAUCCGGCGGGCCGUGGCGGGGAGGCCUUUACGGCCUACCGGCUUCCUUUUUCCCCGGUCUCUCAACCUCGUCACGCGCCUGUCAGCCCG